GGGCGACAGCCGGGAAGGGGCGGGAGGCCUCGCGGAGCCCUUCCCGGGGCUGCGGGAGGCCAGGCUGCAGGCCGCGGUGAGGCUAGGCCGAAGGAGGGGAGCCCUGACGUGGGGCCCUCUGCGGGCAGCAGGCGAGGGGCCCCGGGCGGGAGCUCGGGGCUCAUCGUGAGCCCCCCCCGCAAGUCCCACUGUCUUAGUCCCUUUCUCGUCGCUCGGACAAAAUACGCGACACCCACGACUGAGGAAAGGAGAGGUUUAUUCUGGCCCAGGUUUCGGUCCGGAGGGGCUGGCUCCCAGGCAGGACUGCAGGCCGGAUCGGAGCCGUGAGAGCGCAGGGGGAGCAGGGAGGGAGGUGACCCCCAGGGCACGCCAUGCCACCUCUGCGUGGACCCGAGCCCCAGGAAGCCUGGCCCCGGGCGCUCUCGGGCCGUCUUGAGCUGAACCCUAACCCACCCCGGAAGGCGUCCUGUUCCCAUUUCCACCCUCUACUCCUGCAAGGGCCGGCCAGCCCCACACUGGACACUGGACACUGGACACUGGAAAUGGACCAGGACGAAAGCCGCACUGGCCGCUCCAGAAACCCAAACCUGAGCCCAUCUCGCCUCCCCUGGCCACUCCACUGAAGCCGCAAACCGCAAGCCGAGAGCCCCCAGGCCUCCCUCCUCGCCUUUCCCCGGAGCCUCUCAGAGCUGCCCCCUUGGAAUUCAGGUCUCAGCUUCAAUGCCACUUUCUUCUGGCCAAAGCAGCUGUCUCUGUCACGCUAUCUGGCUUUCUCGCUUAAAUACACUGUCACACUUCCGUUCUUGUUUAUCAUCUUCUCCCCUGAGCAGAAAGCAAACUCGGUGAGGACAGGCACCUCAUCUGUCGCCAGGCCUGGCACACAGGAGAAACCCACGAGAGAGGCAGCUGCUGACGAGCCAUCCGCCGGCCCCCGCCACCGGAUGGGCUCAGCAGCCAGAGAAGAUGAUGAGAUGAGUUCUCCCCAGGGGAUCCAGGGCACCCUUGCAGAAAGGUUUGCUUUGUAAUCAGAACAGGGACAGGCCGAGUGCUUCAUCAGCACAGGGCGGUAGGUGAAGAGCCAGCAAGGGGCAGCCAUGUGUAAGCUCACAGAGAGGCCUCACAAGAGCCACCCUGCCCGUGUCUUGGCCUUGGCCUUCCGGCUUCCAAAACGAGUAAUAUAUUUACCUGAUUAAAAAUCAACCAGCUGUGGUGGUGGACACCUGGAAUGCCAGCACUUGGGAGGCUGAAACAGGAGGAUUGCUGGGAGCUUUGCUAUGUAGCCAGCUCAAGGCCAGCCUUGAACUGUUUUGUUUUAAAACAAACAAACAAACAACCUCCCCCCAAAACCUGUAAAGUGCAAUAGUGAGCACGCGAUAAAGGUCAACACCAUCCCCGAAAGACUCCUGCUGCCAGCAUGUGGCCUUGCUGUGCUGUGCUGUGCUGUGACUACUGCGGUAGUCACCUGUGUGGUCUCCUCCAAACAGCCUCUAACCUGGCUCUGACCAGGAGAUAACAGCGUGUAAACCUCAGAUGAGGGGUAUUCUACAGCACAACUGAGCGGCACUUCUCAAAACUGUCAAAGGCAUAGGAGACAGGGAAGUCUGAGAAACUUUCGGGCCAAGAGGAGCCAAAGGAGAGACAGUGACUAAAGUGAUUGAGGCAAGAGGAUCACAAGUUCAAGGCUAACCUGGGCAACACAGCAAGACCUUGUCUCCAAGUAAAAGGGC